AUUGAACGCUGGCGGCAUGCCUCACACAUGCAAGUCGAACGGUAACAGGUCUUCGGAUGCUGACGAGUGGCGAACGGGUGAGUAAUACAUCGGAACGUGCCUAGUAGUGGGGGAUAACUACUCGAAAGAGUGGCUAAUACCGCAUGAGAUCUACGGAUGAAAGCAGGGGAUCGCAAGACCUUGUGCUACUAGAGCGGCCGAUGGCAGAUUAGGUAGUUGGUGGGAUAAAAGCUUACCAAGCCGACGAUCUGUAGCUGGUCUGAGAGGACGAUCAGCCACACUGGGACUGAGACACGGCCCAGACUCCUACGGGAGGCAGCAGUGGGGAAUUUUGGACAAUGGGCGAAAGCCUGAUCCAGCAAUGCCGCGUGCAGGAUGAAGGCCUUCGGGUUGUAAACUGCUUUUGUACGGAACGAAAAGCCCCGGGUUAAUACCCUGGGGUCAUGACGGGACCGUAAGAAUAAGCACCGGCUAACUACGUGCCAGCCGCCGCGGUAA
rnacentral:rRNA from 1 species